CUCCAACGCCCAACUACAUAGUGUCCGCAUCAAGAGUGUUAUGUCCAGUGGGGUUAUGAAAUUUUGACUAACUGCACAAAUAUCUGUCCAAGUCUUCUAUUAAUAGGGAUAAGCUAGGGAAACCCCCUUGGUCUCCAAGCAAACACUCCUCGACAAAAUGGGUUCCAACAAGGCUUUUCUUUUAUUUUCUCUUGUUCUUCUCAUCAUCUCCUCUGAGGUAGCAGCACGAGACCUCCUCGAGCACACUUCUACUCAUGCCAAGCUGAAAGAGUAUGGUGGAUAUGAAAGAAAGCUUACUAGUGGUACGGGUGAGCCCAUUACAAGAUGCGCCCUAAAUCCGAACCGGCCCUGCUACCCACCACCAUGAUGCCCACCAUAUAUCAGAACCUGUCGUCAACCAUGAAAGAAGCUGCACUCUUUCUGAUCAUGAUCAACAACCAAUACUUAUAGGCCGAUCGAUGCUUGAAGUUAUUGAUUCCUCUCUUUUGUUGCUUCCCUUAAAUAGAACAUGCAGUACGUACGUGCUGUAACUUUCAUGGAAUAAAAACUCGAUCAAUAUGUAAAAACCUCUCCAUAUCUGGUAUCAGGCUAAUAUUUCUGUAAAA